rnacentral:rRNA from 1 species
GACGAACGCUGGCGGCGUGCUUAACACAUGCAAGUCGAACGGAAAGGCCCUGCUUUUGUGGGGUGCUCGAGUGGCGAACGGGUGAGUAACACGUGAGUAACCUGCCCUUGACUUUGGGAUAACUUCAGGAAACUGGGGCUAAUACCGGAUAGGAGCUCCUGCUGCAUGGUGGGGGUUGGAAAGUUUCGGCGGUUGGGGAUGGACUCGCGGCUUAUCAGCUUGUUGGUGGGGUAGUGGCUUACCAAGGCUUUGACGGGUAGCCGGCCUGAGAGGGUGACCGGCCACAUUGGGACUGGGAUACGGCCCAGACUCCUACGGGAGGCAGCAGUGGGGAAUAUUGCACAAUGGGCUGAAGCCUGAUGCAGCAACGCCGCGUGCGGGAUGACGGCCUUCGGGUUGUAAACCGCUUUCGCCUGUGACGAAGCGUGAAUGACGGUAAUGGGUAAAGAAGCACCGGAUAACUACGUG